rnacentral:rRNA from 1 species
GUGGGGAAUCUUAGACAAUGGGGGAAACCCUGAUCUAGCCAUGCCGCGUGAGCGAUGAAGGCCUUAGGGUUGUAAAGCUCUUUCAGCUGGGAAGAUAAUGACGGUACCAGCAGAAGAAGCCCCGGCUAACUCCGUGCCAGCAGCCGCGGUAAUACGGAGGGGGCUAGCGUUGUUCGGAAUUACUGGGCGUAAAGCGCGCGUAGGCGGACCAGAAAGUUGGAGGUGAAAUCCCAGGGCUCAACCUUGGAACUGGCUUCAAAACUCCUGGUCUGGAGUUCGAGAGAGGGGAGGGGAAUUCCGGGUGUAGAGGUGAAAUUCGUAGAUAUUCGGAAGAACACCAGUGGCGAAGGGGACACACUGGCUCAUUACUUACGCUGAGGCGCGAAAGCGUGGGGAGCAAACAGGAUUAGAAACCCGAGUAGUCC